CCAGCUCUGGCCCAACUCCCCCCCAAAGCGUCGCCACAUACAUGCUCUUGGGUCGUCCUCCCAACUAUCCAGUGAAGGCAGUUAGCAUCAAAGGGAGGCAUGCAAAUCGAUCAAUCCUUAUGAGAAGACCCCCUCCUAAGGAACAGACUCCUUGAGAAAGUAUACUCUAAGAGGGCAGGAUUGGUCUGUUCUGCUCACUGCGAUAUCCACAAAACCUACAGCAAUCUUCAUCAGCGCUCAGUGCGGUCUUGCUAAUUGGAGACAUCUGCCACCAACCUCCCCCAGACAUGGGAGCUCCCAGCUGCAAAUCACCUCUCCUGGGCUGCAGAAACUGUCCCGCUCGCCCUGUCAGAGAUUUCCCCUGCUGGCACAUCCUAUAGGCCCCAAGGCUUCAGGCUGAGCUCUCUCUGAUCAGGACAGGAGAAGAAGAUGGUGGAAUCAGAGCAUCGGGGUUUGCCCCAAGCCACAGCUUGCUCUCUGAGAAAGGGGCAGUGGGUCCUACUGAAGCUGGCAUUUGAAAAAAUUCAACAAAAAACAUAUAAAUGCCAGGUUGAUGAAGGUGCUCUGACAAUGGUGAAUGGCCCUUCUUUCUUCAAAUGAUUGU